rnacentral:rRNA from 1 species
GCCGAUGGCGACCGGCGCACGGGUGAGUAACACGUAUCCAACCUGCCGUCUACUCUUGGACAGCCUUCUGAAAGGAAGAUUAAUACAAGAUGGCAUCAUGAGUUCACAUGUUCACAUGAUUAAAGGUAUUCCGGUAGACGAUGGGGAUGCGUUCCAUUAGAUAGUAGGCGGGGUAACGGCCCACCUAGUCUUCGAUGGAUAGGGGUUCUGAGAGGAAGGUCCCCCACAUUGGAACUGAGACACGGUCCAAACUCCUACGGGAGGCAGCAGUGAGGAAUAUUGGUCAAUGGGCGCAGGCCUGAACCAGCCAAGUAGCGUGAAGGAUGACUGCCCUAUGGGUUGUAAACUUCUUUUAUAAAGGAAUAAAGUCGGGUAUGUAUACCCGUUUGCAUGUACUUUAUGAAUAAGGAUCGGCUAACUCCGUGCCAGCAGCCGCGGUAAUACGGAGGAUCCGAGCGUUAUCCGGAUUUAUUGGGUUUAAAGGGAGCGUAGAUGGAUGUUUAAGUCAGUUGUGAAAGUUUGCGGCUCAACCGUAAAAUUGCAGUUGAUACUGGAUAUCUUGAGUGCAGUUGAGGCAGGCGGAAUUCGUGGUGUAGCGGUGAAAUGCUUAGAUUUCCGAAGAACUCCGAUUGC